UACGAAGGGGGCUAGCGUUGCUCGGAAUCACUGGGCGUAAAGCGCACGUAGGCGGGUUCUUAAGUCAGGGGUGAAAUCCUGGAGCUCAACUCCAGAACUGCCUUUGAUACUGGGAACCUCGAGUCCGGGAGAGGUGAGUGGAACUGCGAGUGUAGAGGUGAAAUUCGUAGAUAUUCGCAAGAACACCAGUGGCGAAGGCGGCUCACUGGCCCGGUACUGACGCUGAGGUGCGAAAGCGUGGGGAGCAAACAGG
rnacentral:rRNA from 1 species